rnacentral:piRNA from 1 species
UGAAAGGGAAACGUCUUUGAGGUGGAAA